rnacentral:tRNA from 1 species
GCGAGAGUGGCGGAAUAGGUAGACGCACUGGAUUUAGGUUCCAGCGCCGCGAGGCGUGGGGGUUCGAGUCCCUUCUCUCGCACCA